rnacentral:rRNA from 1 species
GACGAACGCUGGCGGCGUGCUUAACACAUGCAAGUCGAACGAUGAACCGGAGCUUGCUCCGGGGAUUAGUGGCGAACGGGUGAGUAACACGUGGGCAACCUGCCCCAGACACCGGGAUAACCUUCCGAAAGGAUGGCUAAUACCGGAUAUGACCACUUCGGGCAUCCGACGGUGGUGGAAAGGAUUCUGGUCUGGGAUGGGCCCGCGGCCUAUCAGCUUGUUGGUGGGGUAAUGGCCUACCAAGGCGACGACGGGUAGCCGGCCUGAGAGGGCGACCGGCCACACUGGGACUGAGACACGGCCCAGACUCCUACGGGAGGCAGCAGUGGGGAAUAUUGCGCAAUGGGCGAAAGCCUGACGCAGCGACGCCGCGUGAGGGACGAAGGUCUUCGGAUUGUAAACCUCUUUCAGCAGGGACGAAGCGAAAGUGACUGUACCUGCAGAAGAAGCACCGGCUAACUACGUGCCAGCAGCCGCGGUAAU